AUUAUACUCUCUCCGUCCAACAAAAGAUGUCUCAAGUUUGUUAAAAUUUGGAUGUAUCUAGACAUGACUUAGUGUAUAGAUGCAUUCAAAUUUAGUCAAAGUUGAGACAUCCUUUGUUGGACGGAGUGAGUAUAUG
rnacentral:pre_miRNA from 1 species